GACGAACGCUGGCGGCGUGCUUAACACAUGCAAGUCGAACGGAAAGGCCCUGCUUUUGUGGGGUGCUCGAGUGGCGAACGGGUGAGUAACACGUGAGUAACCUGCCCUUGACUUUGGGAUAACUUCAGGAAACUGGGGCUAAUACCGGAUAGGAGCUCCUGCUGCAUGGUGGGGGUUGGAAAGUUUCGGCGGUUGGGGAUGGACUCGCGGCUUAUCAGCUUGUUGGUGGGGUAGUGGCUUACCAAGGCUUUGACGGGUAGCCGGCCUGAGAGGGGGACCGGCCACAAUGGGACUGAGAUACGGCCCAGACUCCUACGGGAGGCAGCAGUGGGGAGUAUUGCACAAUGGGCGGAAGCCUGAUGCAGCAACGCCGCGUGCGGGAUGACGGCCUUCGGGUUGUAAACCGCUUUCGCCUGUGACGAAGCGUGAGUGACGGUAAUGGGUAAAGAAGCACCGGCUAACUACGUG
rnacentral:rRNA from 1 species